AGGACGAACGCUGGCGGCGUGCUUAACACAUGCAAGUCGAGCGGAAAGGCCCUUCGGGGUACUCGAGCGGCGAACGGGUGAGUAACACGUGAGUAAUCUGCCCCUAGCUCUGGGAUAGCUCCGGGAAACCGGGAUUAAUACCGGAUACGACCACCUUAGACAUCUUUUGUGGUGGAAAGAAUUUCGGCUAGGGAUGAGCUCGCGGCCUAUCAGCUUGUUGGUGGGGUAAUGGCCUACCAAGGCGACGACGGGUAGCCGGCCUGAGAGGGCGACCGGCCACACUGGGACUGAGACACGGCCCAGACUCCUACGGGAGGCAGCAGUGGGGAAUAUUGCGCAAUGGGCGAAAGCCUGACGCAGCGACGCCGCGUGGGGGAUGAAGGCCUUCGGGUUGUAACCCUUUCAGCAGGGACGAAGCGAAGUGACGGUACCUGCAGAAGAAGCGCCGGCUAACUACGCGCCAGCAGCCGC
rnacentral:rRNA from 1 species